rnacentral:tRNA from 1 species
GCCUCGGCGAGCAUCCGGGUGGUCGUGGACUUGCCGUUCGUGCCGGUGACGAUCGCGCAGGGACGCCCCUGCCCGAGCUGUUCCAUCAGCUUCGGGUCG